GAGAAAAUACAAAUUGUGUAUUUCCUAACGGAGAAAUACUUGGAAUACACACAGAAUUCCUACAACUCAACAACAAAAAUUCUAAUUUAAAAAUGGACACAGGGGAGUUCCUACUGUGGUGCAGCAGGUUAAGAGCCGGCAUUGUCUCCGUGGAGGAACAGGUUCGAUCCCCAGCCCAGCAAAGAAGAUUAAGGAUCUGCAGCAGCUAUGGCUCUGAUUCAAUCCCUGGCCCAGGAACUUCCAUGUGCCAUGAGUGCAACCAAAAAAAAAACAUGGACAAAGGACUUGAAUAGACACUGCUCCAUCAAAGAUAAACCACAUGAAACGAGGUUAAACAUUGCUCAUCAUUAGGGAAUGCAGGCAAAACCCCAGUGAGAUACCACUUCACAAACUCACUAGGAUAGUGACUCUAAAAUGAAACAAAACAGAAGAAAUGUUGGUGAGAUCAUAGAGAAAUUGGAACCCUUAUUAUUACAGUGGAAAACUGUACAGUGGUUCCUCAAAAAAUUCAACACAGAAUUGCUGUAACAUUCAGCAACUCCACUUUUAUGCACAGACCCCAAAGAACUGGAAACAGGGACUCCAAACAGCUAUUGGUACAUCCUUGUUGGCAUAGCAGCAUUAUUCACAAUCACCAAAUGGUACAAUCAACACAAAUUCUAAUGGGCAGAUGAAUGAUAAACCAAAUGUGCUAUAUACAUACAAUGGAACAUUCCUCAGCCUUAAAAAGGAAGGAAAUUCCCACGUAUGCUACACAACAUGGAUGAACCUGGAAGACAUUAUAUAAGUGAAAUAAAUCAGAGCUAAAGACAUUAUAUAAGUGAAAUAAACCAGAGCUAAAAGUGCAUGAUUCCACUUACAUGAGGUACCUAGAGUCAAAUGCAUGGAGACAAAAAGAAUAGUGGGUGCCAGGAGCUGGGGGGGAGGUUGCAAUGGGAGAGUUAUUGUUGAAUGGGUAUGAAGUUUCAGCCUGGGAUGAUGAAAAAGUGCUGGAAAUGAGAAGUAGUGACAUUUGCACAAUAAUGUGAAUAUAUUCAAUACAACUGAAUAGUACAUUUAAAUGAUUAAAAAUGGUAAAAAAAAAAAAAGAGAGACAGAGAGAGACGGCAGGGGAGGCAGAUAUCAAUCAGCAGUAAUGUGUGGGCUCUGCUCUUGAGCUACUGAUGAAGACUGCUACUUGGGGAGAGGAAAUUAAGGCACGUGCAAGGUGACUGAUGAAGAUAAAUGAUUAGAUGUGAAAGUGAAUCAGCUACUCUUGGAGGAUGUCCUGUGGAUUAUUAGGGCUCUAACAUACCAUACACUUCAUUAAAUAAAUAGAAUUCUAAUAGAUUAACCUACACACUCCUCCACACCCCGCCCCCAACACCAGCCGCACCACAUACACAUUCACCUGGUAAAAUAAUUCUUUGCUUGUUGAUAUAACCUACAUGAGUUUGUGCAGGCAAAGUCACUAUGCACAGUUACUUUUUUUUUUUUUUUUGCAACAAAUAAAAUAGUUUAAUGCAAAUGCAGUGGGUGACAUUUGGCCUUGAAUAGUGUCACACGCUAAAGCCACCUCAGACAUGGCCUCCGAGAAUUUGGUGUCUGGGAGUGCCUGCUGUGGUGCAGUGCGUUAAGAAUCCAACUGCAGUGCCUCAGGUCUCUGGAAGGUGAGGAUUCGAUCCCCUGCCUGGUGCGGUGGGUUAAAGUACCUGGCAUAGGUAGCAGCUGUGGCUCAGAUUCAAUACCUGGCCCAUGAACUUUCAUUUGCCACGGGUGCAGCCAUUAAAGAAAAAAGCUUGGUGUCUGGAUUCAAGUGAACCUGUCUCAAAUCCAAGCUUUGCCACUUGCUAGCCGAGUGACUUUGGGUGACCUUUAGCAAGACGCUCCAUCUUCAUAAACCCCCAUUUCUGACACAUUCACUGGAGAUGAUAAACAAGCCCACUCCCUCAAGCCACUGACAGAAUUAAAUGAUCUUGAGGAAUAGAGAGCCUUAUGCAUGGUAAACGUUCAACAAAUAGCAGCAAUUAACUAGUAAGAAUGAUCGUCUUUGAAUAAUUUAGUUAAUGAGGGUGAUGAAUUAUAUCUACCCUCAUCCCAGUGAUGAACAGAUCCAGAAGCGAAAUCCCCUAAGGAACUAGCAUGACCACAACUCAGCGAGGGUGUUGUAAUUGCCUCAGCAACACAGCAAAUAAUUCCAUUUCAGAGCGGGGCAGCACUUCCGAGCCAUAUUAACUUCUAGAGAUGGUGAGAAGUACAACUCAUUCUCAUAACAAAAUCUAAAAAUAUGUAUUUUACUUUUAGAUCUCUAAUAAGGCUCCCUUGGAGGACCUGAGAAAAAGACAGCUAGAAUAUUUGCCGGGAUUAAGAUCCUGUAUCAUAGUAAUGAAGAAUUUUUUAAUUAUUUGUAUGCUUCGAGCAGCUCUGUUAAAAAUAAACAUUGCACAUUAUUGCAGAUCAACCCCUUGUUGGCUGCAAGACACUUUCCCAAGUAGCUCUGUUAUAUUUCUUGGUGGUGAGCUAGAUGUUGCCCCAGUCAUCAUUACUUGAGCUCCGUAACAGAGGUGUCUUCCACGGUGUGCAUGGAGUUUUAAAAUACGAAGGGUGACAUUGCAUGGGUUUGCACAGCUUAAAGAUGCUGUGGUCUGGCUGACUCCAUUUCUGGUUAAAUUUUCAAUAGGAAAUGACUAAUUUGUGCUCAAAACACCAGGCAACCAGGCCCCAGGGAUGGGUCACAAAAGGAGGGUUUGGGCCAGAGGAAGCAGGUUCCAGGCGGGCUGGAGGAGUCAGCCCUGAGACGUGGCAGCACUUGUCAGUCAACCGACAACUGGGCCUACCACCCCCAAGAGGAGGCGGGGGCAUGUCACCUGCGUCUAAGAUCCUUUGUGAGUCCCGUCCCCACUUCGCUCACUCAGCCAAGGUGUACUGAGCACCUGCUGUAGCAGAGCACUGGACGAGCCAGAGCCACGAGCAUUCGGGAGCCGCUCACGUAGUAUUGUGCAAGGGCAGCAGGUGUUUGUUAUUUGACAGCAUUUUUCACCUCUUUGGUGGAAGGGAAACAACUAGAGGGCAGAUAGAUUCCCGACCCACAAAGGUGUUCUGAAUCAGAAUCACCAGGGGAAGAGUUUGGACUUUGCUUAUCUGUUUUACUGGGGCCACAUAUAUAUGGGUUCUGAAACUGUUGGUUCCGUUCAUUUCCCCCCAGUUAACUAGUUGUUUUGGCAAAAGGACUGACCCUAGAGCUCCUCACUCUGCUAUUCUGCAUGAUUAUCACUCCUCUGGAAUCCACUUUUUUUUAAUGAAAAUUGUAUGUAUUUAAGGUGUUCAACACGACGAUGUGAUAAACAUUUACAAAGUGAAAUGACGACUACAAUCAGGCUGAUUAACAUUCCUCCUCGAAUAGUUUUUGUUUUGCUUUGUUUUUGUUUUUCGUGAUGAGUGUCCGGGAAAUCUAGAGAUGUAUCUUAUAUUUAACACAGAGUAUGCUAAGUGUGGCUACUAAUACUGUAUGGAAUCCGGCAUCUGUAUUUUUUUAACCUGGGCCUCCUGAAUCCUUAUUUUCAGCCAUAGAUGGGAGCUACAGGUUUAAAGGAAGGAAUAACGGGAGAUCAGUGUCCUACUCUCAAGUGAGCUCACCUGGCUGUUAGAUGCACCCAGCCAAUCAACAAGCGCAACACGUGAAGGGAUGUGUUCUUUCAACGAACAAAACAGACAUGGUCCCUGCCCUUACAGGACGCCAAAAUCCCCAGGGAACAAAUCACUUUAUCAAAUAAUCUGCUUAUCAUAGAAAAACAGAGUUUGAACAAGCUUGCUUAAAUAUGGGUGCUGCCCAAACAUAUAUGAUUCUAGAAAACGAAAUCAGUCUGUUUUGGAAGGACUCCAGCAAAUGUUAAGUUCCCCAGGGGCUAAAAGCAGCUCCCUUAGCAAGAAAGAGAGUACACCGGUUAAUGGAGAAUACAGCACCCUUGGGAACCAUAGAGUAUAAGCCCAGACCUUCUUUAACGUAUGCCAAGCAAACCUCAGCUCAAAAGAAAAGAUACGGAGACUCACAGGACCAGAUGAUCCAAGAUGAAGUCAGCCUUGGGCACAGCUGCGUGGCCGAGCCCCGCGACGUCUUCAGGGACCUCCUCUCUCUCCAUUUCUUGGCUCUGCUGUUCUUAACUCACAAAUGGAGCCAGAAGCCCAAAUGUUAUCAGAAUGUGGUCUCUCCUUCGUGGGUAGGAGAGUCCAUGGCGGCUCCAAGGCCCAUGCUGCCGAGUGAGGCAACCCUGGCAAAAGGAGCCCGGGCCCCCGGGCUCCCGGAGAAAAGUUGAGAAGAGGACGCGGAUUGGUCCACCUUGGCCCAAUGACUGCGGUCAGAAGGAUGGCAGCCUUCUGAUUUGCCAGGCCCUGCAUGCGGAGGUCAGCCCUAUGGAAGGGCUGGGAAUGCGUUCCUUGCAUCGGAUAAAAGGGAGUGGGUUGUCAUCCUCCACAGUAGAGUAUGCUAGCAAAUUGUGACAAUUUUGAUAAGACUCGAUUUUGGUAAGGCAGGGGAGCCUUUAGCCCCAGGGUGCCCAGCUGGGUUGGGGUGGGAGGUAGAAUUCCGCUGGCCACCUCUUCUACCCUGUCUGUAAACUACCUGAGCUACUGGAGAUUUGGAAGGAAGGAAGAGUAGAAGAUGCCCAACAGCUGUUAGUAAACCGAUUCCGUCUACUGCAAAGUCAAACCGGCUUUCUUAAAAUCACCACGGUAGGCAAUUUAGAAACGACAACCUUUGCUUGAAAAGGAUCCCUAGGCCUACCAUUUACGCUUGAGAAAUACUAUAGCCUACGUAAUUUGCUGCCAGUAUUAGCCAUCUGGCCCUUCAGAAAUUACUACGGUUCUAACAUGGUAGCCUCUGCCACCCAUGACUGGAGCAGCAAUAAGGAAAUCAAGUAUUUCAGCAGGCCUGCCAGGCCCCUCUUCCUUUUUGCAGACACAGGCAGUUUGGGCAUUACCUUGGGGUGCCAUGCAAGACUGUCAAAUGGUGUGAUCCUCCCACAGGCUUAUGGAUAACUCCUUGGAAGCAGUGGCCGGGGUGGUACUGCUGGGUGGCUUAUGUGCUAGGGUCUAGGACAGCCCCCACAUCCACAGGCGUGAGCAUCAUUUUAUAGCUCUGUGCAGGUUUGGGGAUUGCACCCAAGGUUGAAGACUGGAGUGAGGACCGAGCCUAAGUUGUAAGGAUCAAGGAAGGCCGCUGGAGGAGACUUAACCUGAAACAUGAACCAAACAUUUUAGAAAAGUGGGGGAGGAGGUGUGAAAAGCUCAGAACCCAGGAACUUGCAAGAAACCAGUGGAGUUGGGCAGAGAAGGCAGGAGGGUGGGAGAUGACUGGGGAGCAGGGGGCGGGGCCAGAUCAGGCCAAAUCUCCUGGGUUACAAUGAUUCUAGACCUAAAACUACAGUUUUGAGCAGGGAAGUGACAUAAAUUUACCUCUUUAUAGGACCACUCUGCUUGGCACACGGAGAGUGGGUUGAAGGGACACAGAGUGGAUGCAGAUGGAAAAGAGGCUAUUACUGGAGCCUACAGGAGAGAAGAAACACCUGCACUUUGCCAUAAGCAGAAGGUAAGAUCCAGGGCUAACGGUGGACUGGGUGUGUCAAGUUAAGGGGCAGCAGGGAUCAAAGAUUAUCCCAGAUUUCUGGCAUGAGAACUUCAACACUGGCACUAGCUAUCAAUUAAGAAAAGGAACCCUCUAAGAAUUUGGAGGGACUGCGAAUUCCAUUUUGGAUGUGUUGACGAAAGGUGCCUGUGAAAUAACCAGGCGGAGGGGCAGAGGUCGUUGGAUAGAACGGUCUGGGCUGGAAAGGUACAUCUAGUAGAAUAUAUUUGGAAAGAGGUGGAAAUUAAAGCCAGAGGCUUGGACAGGAUCACUUGGUGAGAAAGUAUGCGGAGAGAAGAGGCACUGAAAAAAUUUGCCAUUUAAAGCCGGUGUGGAGGAGAGAAGAAACCUGAUGAGAAGCAGGAGUGCGGCAUCAGACUCCAGCGUGGCCUCCAGUGACCCUCCCACCACCUCCUGUAUCUGUGCCCCCGAGUCUCCUUCCACGUGGGGUAGGGCUAACUUGUAGAGACCGUAUAUUAUGGAAAUGACAGUCCAUGGCCAAGGUUGUGCCUCAAAGGGCUAUUCAAACAACAAGGCUUCUAAAGAGUUGAAAGGCAUCGUCUCUCAGCCGACUGAGCAGAAGCCCAAGGUAGAGAAGAAUGUAUCUGAAAGAAAGGUGUGGGUAGGGCUUUUGCCUGAUGGAGUGAACUGCAGGAAGACUCAGAGGAGACACAUCAAGUGUUCAAAAUACCUGUAUCUGCAGAAUAACUCUAAUCCUUUCCUGGAAAAGGAAGGAUGAGUCAGAGGCCCCAUUACUCCCCUUCCUCCUGGUGUUCCUACCUUUGGGUGGUGUCUUCCCACACUGAGGACUGACCUGUGUAGACCGUAUACUGUGGGGAGCAGCGGGUGACUUCUGAGGCUAAAUCUGAAAGACAGGGCAGCUUCCACCUUGUCUAGAACCACCUGCUCUGGCGGAAGCCAGGGCCACGUCAGGAGGCUAUUCAAGCAGCCCUGCAGAGAUGGCGAGGAGCUGAGAUCUUCUGCCGAAGCCCCGGAGAUGACCCAUCCUGGAAGGGGACCCUCCAGCCUCUGCAGCGCCAGUGACAUCAGACCACCCUCAGGGCCUUCCUGGUCCUAAGCAAGAGCUUACCCAGGGAAACCACACCCCAAUACUGGACCCGAAAGAAAAGGUAAAGUCUGUUAUUUUAAAACGACGUCUUGAGGUGAUGUGUUAUGUCGCCAGAAAUAAAUAAUACAAGGCCAGAAGCAUGUGAGUUCACGAAAAGUAAAUUCGCUGUUUCAAGGUGAGAGGGCACAACUUGUCAGAUGUUGUGGAAUGGCAAAACAUCCCAUACCUGGACGACAAUAAAGCGCAUAUAUCAAUCCUGAAUUUCAUUUGGCUACCCUGACGCUGGAAAGCAAAAAUAUGCCCACUGUACUUGGUAUACAUGGUUCAAGAAAACUGAGAAAUACUGAUUAUUCUUUUGAAAGACUUCAUUAAAAACAUCUCUCAGGGGUUCCCGUCGUGGCACAGUGGAAAUGAACCCAACUAGGAACCAUGAGGUUGCAGGUCCAUUCCCUGGCCUUGCUCAGUGGGUUAAGGAUCCGGCAUUGCCAUGAGCUGUGGUGUAGGUUGCAGACGCGGCUCGGAUCCCAAGUCACUGUGGCUGUGGUGUAGGCCAGCAGCUACAACUCCGACUGGACCCCUGGCCUGGGAACCUCCAUAUGCUGCGGGGGUAGCCCUAAAAAGCAAAAAAUAAAAAUAAAAAAUAAAAAAACACAUCUUUUCAAAGUCUGUGAGACCUUUCAAUGACAGCGGUUAAACGUCUUACUGUUCUUUCCUGGUCUCUCAGUCGCCUUUGCGUACGGACCAAGGUGUCAUUAAUGGACUGUUAUGUCGUUAAAGGGCAGAGCAGCCUCCCUUUAGCACCUGGAGGGUUAGAUGCAUUGGAGGUGCUCAUACAAGUGAACCCCGGACUAAAAAGCAAAAGCGUCUCAUGUUUUACUAAAAAAAAAAAAAAAAAAAAAAA
rnacentral:lncRNA from 1 species